AUAUCAGUAAGCGGAGGAAAAGAAACUAACAAGGAUUUGAUCAGUAACGGCGAGUGAAGAUCAAUUAGCCCAAGAUGUGAAUCCGAUAUAAAGUAUUGGAAUUGUAAUCUAUAGGGGUUCUCAGAAGCAGUUAAUGCGCCAUAAGUGCUCUGGAAAGGGCCACGAAACAAGGUGAAAGUCCUGUCUUUGGGUGCAGAAACGCGUAUGAGAAUUUUCUAAGAGUCGGGUAGUUUGGGAAUGCUGCCCUAAUUAGGAGAUAAACUUCUUCUAAGGCUAAAUAUUUAUAGGAGACCGAUAGCGCACAAGUA
rnacentral:rRNA from 1 species